AGAAUCAACGCUGGCGGCGUGCCUAACACAUGCAAGUCGAACGAGAAAGUGGAGCAAUCCAUGAGUAAAGUGGCGCACGGGUGAGUAACACGUGACUAACCUACCCUUGAGUGGGGAAUAACUUCGGGAAACCGAGGCUAAUACCGCAUAACACCUACGGGUCAAAGGAGCAAUUCGCUUAAGGAGGGGUCGCGGCAGAUUAGUUAGUUGGUAGGGUAAUGGCCUACCAAGACGGUGAUCUGUAU
rnacentral:rRNA from 1 species